rnacentral:rRNA from 1 species
UACGGAGGAUGCAAGCGUUAUCCGGAUUCAUUGGGUUUAAAGGGUGCGUAGGCGGGAAAAUAAGUCAGUGGUGAAAGCCUACAGCUUAACUGUAGAAUUGCCAUUGAUACUGUUAUUCUUGAGUACAGUUGAAGUGGGUGGAAUGUGUGGUGUAGCGGUGAAAUGCUUAGAUAUCACACAGAACGCCAAUUGCGAAGGCAGCUCACUAAGCUGUUACUGACGCUGAGGCACGAAAGCGUGGGGAUCAAACAGGAUUAGAUACCCUGGUAGUCCACGCCGUAAACGAUGAUGACUCGCUGUUGGCGAUAUACUGUCAGCGGCUGAGCGAAAGCAUUAAGUCAUCCACCUGGGGAGUACGAUCGCAAGAUUGAA